rnacentral:rRNA from 1 species
CACGAAGUUAGCCGGGGCUUCUUCUCCGGGUACCGUCAUUAUCUUCCCCGGUGAAAGAAUUUUACAAUCCUAAGACCUUCAUCAUUCACGCGGCAUGGCUGCGUCAGGCUUUCGCCCAUUGCGCAAGAUUCCCUA